rnacentral:lncRNA from 1 species
GGCUUCUUCUAUUUGUGUGCUUUAUUCAGCUUCUGCGGAAGAAGAAUAGAAAAGCAAAAAAGCAAGGUACUUACCUUUCACCUACACAAACAGACAUGAUCUAAUCAUUUAUACCAGCAAUCAUAUAAUAUCAAUGAAUGUUACUUCUAGUAUUAGCAUUGAUUUCUUCAACAUUUUUCAGAACAGAUUUCAUCAAAAUUUGGCACUAAGAAUCCAUCAAAUAAUUUUAUGCCUACUAGUGAAGUACAAUGGUAUUCAAUGCUCAAGCUAACGAGUAAUAUGAUUUCAUUCAGGUUGUGCAAUACAUAGAAUAAUUAAGUUGACAUUAUUCAUGAGUCCAUUAAAAUAAUUAAGGCACCAAUGACCACUUCAUCCAUGUCAAACUAUUUUAGUCAAAUUACAAGCAUUUCACUCCUAUCAUAGUUCUCUAGUUGAUUUCAGUAGACCUAGUUUAUGGAUGCCUUGAUUCAUCACAAUCCUCCUUGGAAUUGAUGUCUAAGAAAAGCUAAACAAGGAAUGGAAAUUUUUAUUUUCCUACUUCACUCUUCAGAGCCAAAAUAUAUGAGCAAAUGUCAAACUCAACGUAAUUAGGUUGAGUCGAAUAUAAGAUAGGUAAAAAAAAAUCUGUCUAUCCAAACCCUACAUAAUUAUUUAAUGGAUCAAAAAUCCAGACCCAUGCCUGACCAUUUUAUUAAACAAGUAAUCCAAGACGACCUACAACAGAUUGAAUCAAGUUAAGAUAGGUUAAGCAUUGCCACCUCUAAUUCCAAUGGAAGUGUGCAUUAAGGUUCUACAAAAAGGUUCAGUUGAGUGCUUCCCUUCUAGAAAAAGUUGGGGCCCAGAAAUAACAAUUUGUGAACUUAUUGGUCAGUCAAUGAUUCCUAGGGAUAAAAAAGUGAUGCAAUAAAGAUCAAUAUGGUGGAAAGCUGCUAAUUCUCUUGUUCUCUUCUUUCAUUCUUUUAACACCGUAAUGUUUAGAGUCUGCCUUGGCUCAAUUUAGUUAAAUAAACACUACUUUCUCUCAUGAUUCUCCAUCUAUGUUUACAUUGAAUAGCAUUUUUUUUAUAUAUAUAUAUAGCUUUUGUAUUUAUUGUCUCAAGGAGAGAAAGAUAUAGGUGUGUAUCCUCUAACAAGUUUUUGGUAUCCAAAAAAUGCCUAAGACAAGGCAUGUGCAUGUUGCUUUCUAGAGCUGCUGAAGCUCUAUGGCCACUAUUGAUGGCAGAUGAAAGAUCUUUAGGCAUCACCUAAAUUUAGAUAAUGGUCUAGAAGUAACUCUGAGAAGAGGUUUAUGUAAAUAAAGAACAGAAACAAUAUAUAUCCACAAAACCAAGAGGAAACUCACAGAAAACUUUCAAGCUCGUUUAAAGCAAAUAUGGAAAGCAAUAUUAUGCAAGGAAAUGUAUGGUAUGAUGUACUAGAAAAGACACAUAAAAAGAAAUCCUGACUGGAACCGAACCAUGUGAAUCCAGUACCCCAAAAACUGCAGCACUGCAGCACAAUCCAAUGUCUCCCCAAUGAAUAUGGUGACGAAACAGGGCCCCUCAUUUUACAGUAUGCCCAAGAUAGACAAUACUAUGGUGGUUACUCAACACACAGCCGGUAACUGAGCUAGUUGGUAUCCAUCUCUCCAAGUGAGAGGUCUCAUAUUCAAACAAGCAUUUUCAGUUGUAUUAAAUGCUUUUAUCUCGAAUAAAUUGUAUUCACAUAUCAAGCUCUGAUAUAUUUCUUCAAAUGUUGCCCUUGGUAGUUGGUAACUCUACCCAUCUACAUUUGUUGCCCUUUGGUAGUUGGUAACUCUACCAAUCUAUAAUUCGUUGGCAUAUUAUUUUGAAAACAAACUUGCAUGGCUUGUUGGAUUUUUCUUCUUUAUAUUAUGUUGUGAAGGCUUGUUCUACAUUGACAAUGACUACAUUAUUACCUCAAUAUCGUUUCACCAUUAAUCUGCUAAUUAGGUACAUAUACAUGUGUGUGUGUGUGUGUGUGUGUGUGUGUGUGUGUGUGUAGAAGAANNNNNNNNNNNNNNNNNNNNNNNNNNNNNNNNNNNNNNNNNNNNNNNNNNNNNNNNNNNNNNNNNNNNNNNNNNNNNNNNNNNNNNNNNNNNNNNNNNNNNNNNNNNNNNNNNNNNNNNNNNNNNNNNNNNNNNNNNNNNNNNNNNNNNNNNNNNNNNNNNNNNNNNNNNNNNNNNNNNNNNNNNNNNNNNNNNNNNNNNNNNNNNNNNNNNNNNNNNNNNNNNNNNNNNACAUAUACAUGUGUGUGUGUGUGUGUGUGUGUGUGUGUGUGUGUGUGUAGUAAGGAAAGACAAGGAUAGGGCACCCAUACUCUACUAGUGUAAAUGAUAUUUGCAGGCUAAUAAAGGAAGAAUUUACAAUAUAUUCAAUAAUUUGUAAUGAACCAUGGCAUGACUUUCAGCUUUCUUUCCAGUGCAGAGUGACCCCCAAGCUUUAAAUGGUCUAAGAACAGCUUCUAGAACAAGACCGUGCUGAGCUCUGAUUGUUUCCUAGUAUAUUCUUUAGCUCCUCAUACCUAACACUCCGUCAACCAUGAAUUCCACAUUUGUACCCAUGUGAAAAAAAUACAUACUGAUGAAUUAGUUAAAAUAAUUGCUGUCUUGAAUGAAAUUUUUGUUGUUCUAUUUAUAAGUAUUAUUUUUCUUCUUGUUUUGCACUUUUUUUAGGAUGGUGAUGCAAGUACAGUUGCAUUCAAGAAUCUCACAUAAUUGAUUUUGUUAUACCAAAUUUUCAUGCCAGCUCAAACAAUUAGUUCCCACUACAAGGAAAGCAGAGGAAAUGAGCUAGAGUUACCUUUAUUUGAUAUCCAUACAAUAAGAACUGCUACCAAUAACUUUUCUGACGAUAAUAAACUUGGAGAAGGUGGAUUUGGCGCCGUUUACAAGGUAGUUUUUUUGACUAUAGGGCAUACUGCUAUUUGAUCCUACAGUCACAAAAGAUACAAACUCUUUGAAAAAGAGCAUUGUGGAACUCACCUAACUGUAGCAAUUAGCAGGGUCAGUUGGAAGAUGGAGAAAAGAUUGCUGUCAAGAGGUUGUCCAAAGAUUCUGUGCAGGGCAUACAUGAAUUCACAAAUGAGGUGUUGCUGAUAGCCAAACUUCAGCACAGAAAUCUUGUUCGCCUUUUUGGCUGCUGCAUUGAAGGAGAGGAACGAUUGCUGGUGUACGAGUACUUGCAAAAUACAAGUUUGGACUACUUCAUAUUCGGUUUGGUCUUUAUCCUUGCACCAUUUGACUACUUUAUGCUCUGUAUACAAUGCAAUGUUUGAUGGACAUCUCGCAGGUUUAGCAACUAAUUUGAUUUAGUUGAUCAUCAUGUAUACUCAGACUUCUGAUUUGGUCUUCUGAGUAGGUCAACUAAGACUGGGUUGAUGAGGCAAUGGAUUAACAAUUAAGAUGGAUAUAUUCUUCUUCCAUAUCAGGUUAAAUUAUUUCAAAAAAUAAUUGCUAAUUAAGCUUAGACCACCAUGAAGAAUAUCUAUCUGACUUUUCAUACACUAUAUAAACUUUUAUGAUUAAAAAAAAAAAGCAGUAUAUGGUAUGAAGUUGUAUGGACUGAAAUUACGACAGAAUGCAUUUUAAUUAAUCAAGUUAGUUAUUUUAAAAGGAUGAGCAGAGGUGGUGGUGAUGAUGGCAGUAGAUAAUCUGAUUCCUCUAACUUGGCACUUCCUUUGCCCUUAAAUCUCACUGCUAUAAGUUAGACCUCCUAUUGAAAUGACAUGGGCAGAAUCUCAACCUCACAUCAUUGCUACUAAACUAAGGUGCAAAACUAUUUUAUUUCAUCUUGUAUAAGGAUCAGCAUAUAUGGCAUUCUUCCUUGUGCUAAAUAUAAGUUCAACCUAUAAUUAUAAUGUUAAUCAUGGAUUUAAAGAGCACAUUAUUUGUAAAUGAUAGAUUAUAUUGAUCUGAAAUAAAUACUGGACUUAUCUCAAAGGGAAAAAGGUAAAGAAGAAGUAGGUGAGUUGAACUUCAGACUGCAUUUGUCAAACUAAAAAGGAGUGUAAAUUUGGACCAGAUAGGAAAAGAAGGGCAUUUUUGAACUGGCAAAAGCGCCUCAACAUCAUCUUAGGAAUUGCUCGAGGACUUCUAUACCUUCACCAAGACUCUAGGUUGAAAAUUAUUCACAGAGAUUUGAAGGCCAGCAAUAUUCUUCUUGAUGAGGACCUGAACCCAAAAAUCUCAGACUUCGGCACUGCAAGAAUCUUUAAGGUUGACCAAAUUGAAGAGAAUACAAAAAGAGUUGUUGGGACAUAGUAAGUACAUAAGCAUAUCAACUCAUAAAGUAUAAAUCUGAAUGCAAUAUCCUAGUUGCAUAAACUAAUUUUGCUAAUGACAUGCAGUGGAUAUAUGUCACCGGAGUAUGCAAUGGAUGGUAUCUUUUCAGUGAAAUCAGAUGUGUUCAGCUUUGGUGUUCUAGUGCUAGAAAUUUUAAGUGGUAAGAAGAAUAGAAUGAUCAAACAAGCAGAAGCUCAUGUUAACCUUUUAGGACAUGUAAGUGCUCGAAUGCAAUAAUGUCAUCAUUCUAAAUAUAACUUCUAGUUGUUCAUUCUAAACAUACAUGGAUUAUCACACAGGCAUGGAGACUAUGGACAAAAGGUAGAUGCUUGGAAAUACUUGAUGAAGCAGUGGGAUGCACAUACCCAGAGUCUAAAGUAUCGCAGUGUAUCCAAGUGGCUCUCUUGUGUGUGCAAGAAGGGAGUGAAGAUAGACCAACAAUGGCAGAGGUAGUGCUCAUGUUAGGAACUGAAAGUGCACAGCUACCUCAGCCUCAAAGGCCAGGCUUCUACACAGCAACUCCUUUAAUGGAAAGAGAUUGGUCUAGCAGCAAUAAAAUUACAGUUACAAUUGAAGGUCGAUAGAAAUCUGUGACAUGAGAAGGGGUGGGCGGGGAAGAGAGAUUCAUGGACUUCAUUGUACAAAUAUAUUAGUCAGGCAGAGUUUAAACUAUUUUAUUAUGAUUUUAAUCGUUCACAUGCCUUUUUUGUGGCGAAAAUACCAUAUGCCUUUUUAAAUUAUCUUUACAAAUCUAAUUAGGGAUUUCAGUGAAACAAAUGUCCAAAGUAGUAAAUUCUCCUUAGUUUCACAGUGACAAGAUUAAGAGAUUCAGGUGUAAGAAAGAGAAGUGCGUGCAUAUACAAAUAUAAUUCACACAACCCAUGGAUUUAAAGAAAAGAAUAUAUGCAAAUAUUGUUCCUAUACAAACAAGAAUAAUAAGUGAAGAAGAACAAGCACCGAUGCUGUGAUUUUGGGUGACAGUGAGUGAAAAGGAAUAAAACUUAAAGAAAUAUUAUCCAUGAUAUUAUCGCAAAUGCAGUAGUGAUAUUAAAACUAGUUCACUAGCAUCAAUAUACGUUAUCUUCAGAUAUAAUGACGAUAAAAUAUUAGUUCAGAAUAUAUUUUUACCAAAGCACUUCCAACAGAGUCCCCUGGUUGGAGAAAUUUGUCAUUAGAUAACGCUAAAAUAAACAGUAUAUAAACAAAAGAAUUUUUCAUACAUUUAUAUAUAUCUUCUUACAAUAUCCUAUUCCUCACUUCUCUCUCAUCAUCUCUUUCAACCACCACACCCCAGAUUCUCCUGAUCCUCUCCUCUCAUCAUCAGUUCCAUCAGAGUCCUCCCCACGCAUGUAAGCAACCAUCAUUCAUAUUUGGUUAAAGGAAGCAUCGUUGCACCAUAUUUUCAGUAGCAUUCCGAAAAUCUAAAAUAAAUACUAAAUAUGGACCGAACGACCAUUAUGUCCAUCGGCACUGCACCAACAUCCUCUCUUUCUUCGCCAACUACUCGGUUAAGAUACCGGCCUUGCGUUACUUCCCUUAGUUUCAGCUUUUUUAAACUAAAACAGAAAAAUUCAAUGGUAAUACGAAUCAAAAAAAAUAGAAGAAACUAACGAAGAAUCAAAACCCCACAAGCUAAAACCCUCCAAGAAUCGAUGAAAACCUACAUUGGAAUAAGAAACGGUUGAUUUCCUCUGGAACUCUAAAAAAAAGUGAAGCAAGAAUCGAAACCCUAGGUCAGAAACAGUCGGCAUUCGUUCAAAACCAUAGAAGGACCAAGAAUCUCAUGAAAGGAAGAACAAGAAGAGUGAAGGGUAAAAGAAAGAGAGGAGAGAAUACUGAAAGCACUGGCGAAGAUUUCGUAGUAAAUGAGAUCAUGGACUUCCAAUGGUUGUAUCUCUCGUCUAUCGCUCGGCGAGGGGCCUCCUUCGUUCCUUCGACUCCCUCUCUCCUUCGUGUUGUGGAAUGAAAGGGGAAACAACGAGUCGGAAAGACGGAGGCCCGGUUUAUAAGAGCGGAGAUGCAGAAGGUCCCCUUCCGGAUCCGUAUUAUGAUCCCAGCUGCAGAAGGCUACCUGAAUAAAGGUAAC